GACGUAGGGCGCGAGCGUUGUCCGGAUUUAUUGGGCGUAAAGAGCUCGUAGGCGGCUUGUUGCGUCGACUGUGAAAACCCGCGGCUUAACUGCGGGCUUGCAGUUGAUACGGGCAGGCUAGAGUUCGGUAGGGGAGACUGGAAUUCCUGGUGUAGCGGUGGAAUGCGCAGAUAUCAGGAAGAACACCAACGGCGAAGGCAGCUCGCUGGGACGGUACUGACGCUGAGACGCGAAAGCGUGGGGAGCGAACAGG
rnacentral:rRNA from 1 species